UACGUAGGGUGCAAGCGUUAAUCGGAAUUACUGGGCGUAAAGCGUGCGCAGGCGGCUAUGCAAGACAGAUGUGAAAUCCCCGGGCUUAACCUGGGAAUUGCAUUUGUGACUGCCCGGCUAGAGUUUGGCAGAGGGGGGUAGAAUUCCACGUGUAGCAGUGAAAUGCGUAGAUAUGUGGAGGAAUACCGAUGGCGAAGGCAGCCCCCUGGGUCAAGACUGACGCUCAUGCACGAAAGCGUGGGGAGCAAACAGG
rnacentral:rRNA from 1 species